rnacentral:rRNA from 1 species
UGGGGAAUCUUGCACAAUGGGGGCAACCCUGAUGCAGCGACGCCGCGUGAGCGAUGAAGCCCUUCGGGGCGUAAAGCUCUUUCGACCGGAACGAUAAUGACGGUACCGGGAGAAGAAGCUGCGGCUAACUACGUGCCAGCAGCCGCGGUAAUACGUAGGCAGCAAGCGUUGUUCGGAGUUACUGGGCGUAAAGAGUGCGUAGGCGGUUUUCUAAGUUGGGUGUGAAAGCUCCUGGCUCAACUGGGAGAGGUCGCUCAAGACUGGCCGACUGGAGAGCAGGAAGGGAAGGUGGAAUUCCGGGUGUAGUGGUGAAAUGCGUAGAUAUCCGGAGGAACACCAGUGGCGAAGGCGGCCUUCUGGACUGCAUCUGACGCUCAGACGCGAAAGCUAGGGGAGCAAACG